rnacentral:misc_RNA from 1 species
ACCUACCGUUUAAUUUUGAGGGUUCGCUUUUACGAAUACUCAAAAUUAGCACUUUUAUCAACAGAAUAAACUGAACGCAUGUGAAGGUUGUUUGUUGGCGCUGUGCUUUAACACUUUGAAAACUGCAUAUAUAUUUAGUGAUAUGACAUCUAAUUUGUAAUAUAUAAAGCUGAUAACUUUUUAAAAUUAUCGAAGUUGAUAGCUUCUAAUCUAUCAGACCUUUUUAACUGGCCAA